AAAAAUUAAGUAAAUAUAAAAAAAAGUUCAAUUUUGUCUAUAUAUAUUGUCUAUAUAUUUAUAAUGUUAUAUUUUCGAAUUGGGUUAUACUUGAGAUAACAGCAUCUUUAAAUGUAGAAAUCUCGUUACUCUAUUAUACGUAAACUUUGAAGCCGUCACUUGCGCGGCUGGUAACGCUAACUCUUGCAAACUAUCCAAGCAGAAAUACGUAAUGAGACUACAUGUCAAUGGAUGGCACCACCGAUGUAUAAACUUGAGUAGCAGUCUCAUGCAGUCCCGAGGCAUGUGCCGUUCCUGCAAACGUUGUACAUAACCGCUGCUUACUUUGCUUAAAAACGUUAUCUAUCCAUGCAUAAUAUACUCAAUACCAUGGGAAAAUAUUUCCAUGUAUCGAAUAAUUUGUCAGGAACAUUUCAGAAAUAAUCUGUUCGCUUGUUAUCGUGAAAUAUUGACCGCGCUUCAUUAUUGAUUCAAUCCGUCAAACACAAGUUGACAAAACAUUCAUGUUUUGUUUUCACGGUUGUGUAUCAGACAGAGCAUGCAUCGUUUCUGUAUAUAGUCAAUAACUUUUCUGAUGUAUUGAUAAUCUUCGUCGAAAUAAUUCGCAUAGUCGUAUGAAAGUAAAAUAUAUAUAAAGUAUAUUACGGAUGUAGAUACUAGUGAGCAGAUAGAAAAGUGAAUCAAUAAAUGCGUCUGGCUGGUUCAUGUUUAAUUUUUCACAUCGACCUCUUUCGAAGAAUUCACAUUGUUAUUCGGUAAAAUGAAUCCUUUUCAUAAAUCGAAACUGAUAGAUUCUCAAUUGGCAUUUUAAUUCAACGAUGAUGUUAUACUAUCACGAAUAUUUAUAACGCAUAUUAAUUUUUUUGCAUAAAUUAUUUUUUUUCUGAUCGAAUAUCGCAAACGUGAAUUUACAUCGCAUUAUAUAUAUAUAUAUAUAUCAUUACAACGUCACGAAACUGUCAAUAUAUGACGAUAAAUUAGCAGAGUUCCAAUUUUAUUCGUUGGGGGUCGCUGAUUUACUGUGAUAAUUCCUAUGUCGAAAUGUAUAUUUCCAUGCCACAUAGAAAUCACGCCUGCUCUCUGUAGCGAGAGUGGUAAAUUGUUACAAUUUGAAAAUUUCGUGUAUUUUUUAAUAUAAAAGCACUUCAAAUGCAGAACUGAAUGUAAAUGCGAUGUUCAAAAAUUUUUUUACGGAUGUUCGAUGAUAUUACAUCAUGGAUACUAUUGGUAGUAAUUAAUCUUGAUCUAGAAGAAUAUAAAGUUAAUAAUAUUGUAGAAUUUCCAGUUGAACAAUAUUUAAUAUUUAAUCAUUAUAAAAUUGUAUACGUAAGAGAAAUAUCAUGCAGUUGAUAUUCGAUAAAUAUAGAAAAUGAAAGAUAAAAAUGAAUGAAAGAGAUGAUAAUAUUCUUCGGAAGAAUAACAAGAGGAACUGCAUUGAAAACUACCAGAUGUAAUCUACGUACUUCGUGGUACUACGUAUCGCGGUGCCUCCAGCUAUGCAAUCCUCAUUACACGAUGUACUAAUACAAGUGAAAGUAUUUCACAUAAAGCGGGCGCAUCCGUGACACCGGCCAGUGCGGCGCGAGGACCAGGAUCAGGAGGAGCAGCACCGCGCUUAUUUCCAAGGAUUACCACGUUUCUCGAGGAUGGGCUGUUGCUGCUGCACGGACGAGCCAUCGUCCAAGGUGGAGCCUCGGGUAAGGAUUAUUUUUUACGAUUACGCCCGUUGAAAUUUCCGCCCGGGUAUUUCAAUAUAAAACUUCUGGUCGCGUAGCGGUGCGGUAAGUGAAACGGGUCAGGUCAACGUGUUUCGCUUUAAACUUCCCGCGUAAAUUCUUGUCGCGUAAUUGUGGAAGAGAGAAAAGUAAUUAUUCGUGGACACGUGUGUACGUAAUACGUAUACGUUUUAAUUAUCGUUUGUAUGCGCGUUGAUGAUAAAUUAUUCCAAUAUUUGGAUGUUCGACGUACGUUUAACUUAUAUAAUAAAUAUUAUGGAUGUAUGCAUAAUACAUACGUAUAAUAGUAUAGUUGAUUUAUCACUCGUAGAAAGUUCAUUUUUUUCUUUUUUAUUCAGUAGUUGGAUUGAUGAAAUUAUGCUUUACAAUAAUCGUUAGAAAUGAGAAUUAAAUAAAAGAAUAGAUAUUUUAAAGUCGCGUGGAAUUAUAGUGGACCUUCGUUUUUUGAAAUCAUCCCUUUUGAUUCAUAAAGGUAUCAUCUUACUUAAA